rnacentral:rRNA from 1 species
AGAGUUUGAUCAUGGCUCAGGACGAACGCUGGCGGCGUGCUUAACACAUGCAAGUCGAACGGAAAGCGCUUUUCGGAGUGACUCGAGUGGCGAACGGGUGAGUAACACGUGGGUGAUCUGCCCUGCACUUUGGGAUAAGCCUGGGAAACUGGGUCUAAUACCGGAUAGGACUACGAAUCGCAUGGUUUGUGGUGGAAAGCUUUUGCGGUGUGGGAUGGGCCCGCGGCCUAUCAGCUUGUUGGUGGGGUGAUGGCCUACCAAGGCGACGACGGGUAGCCGGCCUGAGAGGGUGUCCGGCCACACUGGGACUGAGAUACGGCCCAGACUCCUACGGGAGGCAGCAGUGGGGAAUAUUGCACAAUGGGCGCAAGCCUGAUGCAGCGACGCCGCGUGAGGGAUGACGGCCUUCGGGUUGUAAACCUCUUUCAACAGGGACGAAGCGUAAGUGACGGUACCUGUAGAAGAAGCACCGGCCAACUACGUGCCAGCAGCCGGGGUA